rnacentral:rRNA from 1 species
CCUUGACAUACUAAGAACUUUCCAGAGAUGGAUUGGUGCCUUCGGGAACUUAGAUACAGGUGCUGCAUGGCUGUCGUCAGCUCGUGUCGUGAGAUGUUGGGUUAAGUCCCGNAACGAGCGCAACCUUUUCCUAUUUGCCAGCGGGUCAUGCCGGGAACUUUAAGGAUACUGCCAGUGACAAACUGGAGGAAGGCGGGGACGACGUCAAGUCAUCAUGGCCCUUACGGCCAGGGCUACACACGUGCUACAAUGGUCGGUACAAAGGGUUGCUACCUCGCGAGAGGAUGCUAAUCUCAAAAAGCCGAUCGUAGUCCGGAUCGCAGUCUGCAACUCGACUGCGUGAAGUCGGAAUCGCUAGUAAUCGCGGAUCAGAAUGCCGAGGUGAAUACGUUCCCGGGCCUUGUACACACCGCCCGUCACACCAUGGGAGUUUGUUGCACCAGAAGUAGGUAGUCUAACCGCAAGGAGGACGCUUACCACGGUGUGGCCGAUGACUGGGGUGAAGUCGUAACAAGGUAGGCGUAGAUGA